rnacentral:rRNA from 1 species
UUUUUAAGAGUUUAAUUUAAAGUCCNAUCUGCUCACUGAAUUUUUAAAGAGCCGCAGUAAAUUGACUGUGCUAAGGUAGCAUAAUAAGUAGUUUAUUAAUUGUAAACUGGUAUGAAAGAUUAGAUGAGAAAUUAACUUUCUUUAUUUUAAGAUUAAAUUUAAUGUUUAAGUUAAAAAUCUUAAAUUUUAGUAAGGGACGAGAAGACCCUAUAGAUUUUUAUUAGUUUAUUAAUUAGUAAAUAAAAUUAAUUUGAUUGGGGUGAUUGUAAAAUUUAUUUAACUUUUAUUGCUUUAUAUUAAUGAUUAUUAUUUUUUUGAUCCUUUAUUUUGAGAAAAAGAUUAAAUUACCUUAGGGAUAACAGCGUAAUUUUUUUGUGUAGUUCAUAUAUUAAAAAAAGGUUGCGACCUCGAUGUUGAAUUAAAAAUAAAUUUAUGGGUAGUUUUAUAAAAUUUAAGUCUGUUCGACUUUUAAAUUUU